UUCUGACACAUGCGACAACACAGAUGAACCUUGAGGUCCUCACACCAAAGUAAAAUAUGCCAGCCACAAAAGGACAGAUAUUGUAUCAUGCCACUUAUCUGAGAUUAAACUAAGAUCCUUUGCCAAUAAAAAGACAAACAAUAGAAAAUUCCUACAGAUUAAGAAUACCAACCAAGAUUUCAAUGAACUUACUUGCUUCAGCUCUGGGAGAACAGUUAUGACAUGGUGUUGAAUUACAUCAGUGAGGAACUAGAGGUUUCUUCUGUCUGAAGAGGAGCAUAUCAUGAUGGAUUGGUCUCUGGAAUCAACAGGCUUGGUUUUGAACGAAGAGAUCUUCGACCAGUUGCUUACCCACCCGUGGCCUCAUUUUUCUUAUAUAAAAGAUGGGGAUAGUGAUAUUACUUGUAUCCGUUUGGAUAUGCAGCUGCUGUUGAUUUGUUGAUUCAGCUGCUCAACAGGAACCCACGCUCUUUUUGAUGACUUCACCAUCUUUAAUUUCAUCUUCAUGUUUGUUGCCUCAUCUUAUAAAAAGGCAUCAGCCUCUCCAGCUUUAACCAAACUUGAGUAAGAACUCCCUGACUUGGAAACACUCAAGUUUCCCACAUGUGACUGGAUGGCCCUGGCCACACUGGGAACGGAAUGAUGGCCUCCCAUUGGAACUCGGGGUGGAGGGGGAAGCUCGACCAGCUAUUGUGGCCCCCACUUCCAUUGACAAAAAAGAAAACCUGCAGAUUCCAUUGAUCUGGCAUGGAGCUGGAUGUCUUUCAGGAUGAAGAGUUUUCAUUAAAACACAACCACAACAAAGCAAGAAAAAAGAGCAAUUGAUGUAAGCAUGCCAGUCAGGUUCACAUGUUAAGAAACAGAAUAAAAAGAAAUAAAAAUUGAUAAACAAUUGUAAAUCAUACCAAGGCCCUGCAUAAAUAUGACUUGCUAUUAUGCAUAAUACAAUACAUGGCAUUGUUGUCUUGGAACCUGUCCAAUGUGGUUUAUUAUUGGAAGAAUUGGGUGAAUCUUGUUAAAACACAGCUUUACCUGAAAUUUGAUACCUAGGUGUGAACCCAGAUGACAAUGUUACGGGGAUUUUCCAAUUAUGGUUUUAAGUAAGGAGUUGUGGAGUUCUCAUUUCAUCCUCUUCAAAAUUUCUUGCUUUAAAUGAAUGAGUAGACUGAAUUAUUCUCCUUUUAAAAAACAAUUGUUUUGCUUGGUGAAGACCAGAAGAAUCAUGCCAGUUCUAAUGCAGGAGAGAAAUACAUUUUAAAAAAGAAAUAUCCUUGGCUAUACAGUUGAUUGCCUUUCUAUUCAAAUUUAAUCUGAGCAAUAUAUAAUUUUAAUUACAGAAGUUAGAGGCUACAAAUCAGAAAUAUCCUUACAUUUCUUGAGUUAACAAAAAUGAUCUUCCUUUACUUGUGUAAAAUUUCAUUUGGAAAAAGGGAAAAGAGAGUAAAGAGAUGGAGUAAAAAGAUGUGCAUCUGUAAUGUGGGCUCUGUGCAAUCAGUAUCUUGAUAACCAUAUUUUAUACAAACUCUCCGGCAAAACCAGAGAGUCAAGAUGUUUUAGGAAUUACUCCUCCUCACUCCUCCACCCCCACAUUCCACCACUGGGAGUCAAAUUGUCUGUGGAAAAAUACAUCCUAAUAUUAAAAACAGCUUUCUGAUUGAACUGUGGCAUAUUCUUGAAGCUGCUGUGCAAGAGUCUCUUGCAAGAGUUUAAAAAUUCUAUAGAUCAUGUACUUAAUGAUUUACAGAAUAGGAAAAAUAAUGCUGGUGGUUUGAGCUGAAAAGCACUUUGUCAGGACUGCCUAUGAUAUUCUUCAUACUGACAAAGAAUAAUGAUACAUAUUUCUAUCCAUUAUGGUUAGGUUGAGGUGAGGGUCAAAAGCUGGGCUCUAUGAGAUACUGAUUCCUAGACGGUCCCCAUCCUCCUCAUCCCCACUGGUCUCUGGGCUGAGUCUAUACUCAGGCAGAGGAGAGAUAACUGCUAUAGUCAAACUCAGGACUGCUGUGAGGGAUCUAUUUCUUUCUUUCUUUCUUUCUUUUUAUUUAUUUUUUUGAGAUAAGGUCUCACUCUUUCACUCAGGCUGGAGUGCAGUGGCGCGAUCACGGCUCACUGCAGCAUUGACCUCCUGAGCUUCGGCGAUCCUCCUAUUUCAGCCUCCCCAGUAGCUAGGACUACAGGUGUACACCACCACAACCAACUAAUUUUUUGUGUGUAUAUUUUUUGUAGGGACAGGGUUUCUCCAUGUUGCCCAGGCUGUUCUGGAACUCCUGGGCUCAAGUGAUCCACCUGCCUUGAUCUCCCAAAGUGCUUGGAUUAUAGAUGUGAGGCACCAUUCUGGGCCAGGAUCUAUUUCUUUUGUGCCCUGGUUUAUUUCAGGGUGUUGUAUGCAGGACACUGAUCAACUCUCACAUUCUCUGCCUACAGUGUAUAUAACUGAGCUGAAGGGGCUUUUCCCGGAGCCAGACUCUAAACCUUGGAUAUACAUAGAUGCCCAAAUGCUGUAAAGUACUAUAGAGUGCAGAUCAUUAUAUAGUAUGAAUAUGAUCAUUUCCAAAAAGCAAUGUGAUUUUAAAACUUGCUUUAUUGCCUAAGCUCUGGAAUUGAUUAUUUUUCAACCUUUUUUGGAUACCUGUGUUAUCUUGGUCAAUGUAAAUUAAUAAGAAUGAUGGUUAUGAAUAAUGUGCUGUCAUUGACAUUUACUUGGAUGUCAGAGAAUGAAUG